CCUACGGGAGGCAGCAGUCGAGAAUCAUUCACAAUGGGGGAAACCCUGAUGGUGCGACGCCGCGUGGGGGAAUGAAGGUCUUCGGAUUGUAAACCCCUGUCAUGUGGGAGCAAAUUAAAACGAUAGUACCACAAGAGGAAGCGACGGCUAACUCUGUACCAGCCGCCGCGGUAAUACAGAGGUCUCAAGCGUUGUUCGGAAUCACUGGGCGUAAGGGGUGCGUAGGCGGUGUCGUAAGUCGGGUGUGAAAGGCGCGGGCUCAACCCGCGGACGGCACAUGAUACUAAGAGACUAGAGUAAUGGAGGGGGAACCGGAAUUCUCGGUGUAGCAGUGAAAUGCGUAGAUA
rnacentral:rRNA from 1 species